rnacentral:rRNA from 1 species
UAAGGAAUAUUGGACAAUGGGGGAAACCCUGAUCCAGCCAUGCCGCGUGAAUGAAGAAGGCCUUAGGGUUGUAAAGUUCUUUUAGAUGUGAAGAUAAUGACGGUAGCAUCAGAAAAAGCUCCGGCUAACUCCGUGCCAGCAGCCGCGGUAAUACGGAGGGAGCGAGCGUUGUUCGGAAUUACUGGGCGUAAAGCGUGCGCAGGCGGCUUGACAAGUCAGAAGUGAAAUCCCAGGGCUCAACCUUGGAAUUGCUUUUGAAACUGUCAGGCUAGAGUAUCGGAGAGGUUGGCGGAAUUCCCAGUGUAGAGGUGAAAUUCGUAGAUAUUGGGAGGAACACCAGUGGCGUAAGCGGCCAACUAGACGAUAACUGACGCUCAGGCACGAAAGUGUGGGGAUCAAACAGG